GACGGGGCCCGGCACAAGCGGUGGAGCAUGUGGUUUAAUUCGAUGAUACGCGAGGAACCUUACCUGGGCUCAAAUGUAUGUUGACGUAUUCUGAAAGGGAUACUUCUUCGGACAAUAUACAAGGUGCUGCAUGGUUGUCGUCAGCUCGUGCCGUGAGGUGUCGGGUUAAGUCCCAUAACGAGCGCAACCCCUAUCAUUAGUUGCCAUCAGGUCAAGCUGGGGACUCUAAUGAAACUGCCUACGCAAGUAGUGAGGAAGUGGGGAUGACGUCAAAUCAGCACGGCCCUUACGUCCAGGGCUACACACGUGCUACAAUGGCCGAUACAGAGGGCAGCUACCUGGUGACAGGAUGCAAAUCUCCAAAGUCGGUCUCAGUUCGGAUCGGAGUCUGCAACCCGACUCCGUGAAGUUGGAUUCGCUAGUAAUCGCGCAUCAGCCAUGGCGCGGUGAAUACGUUCCCGGGCCUU
rnacentral:rRNA from 1 species